UCCAGGACAUGAAACCUUUGGUGUCACAGGC
rnacentral:piRNA from 1 species